GGGGAGAUGGGCGGCAUACAAGCUUAGUAAUAAAAAUAAAAUAAACAGGUCCUCCUUGCCACUGUGUCAAGCCCACAAGAAGACCCCAAGAUCAAAGAGCCCCUAAGCAGCAAACUUUCUGUGGAAGGAGGCCCCUGGGAGGCGCAGGGAAAGGCAAUGGAGAGCAUUAGCUUGACUCCACCUGUCACUCUUCACCCUCAGGUAAGGGCACCAGCCACCUGGUCAGGUGAUUCCAUUUUCCCAAAGCUGCCUUCUUGGUUUGGUUUUUGUAACUGCAGUUUGGGGGCUUCCAGAAAAUACUCUUCUUGGGCAGUUCUCCUCCCUCAUCCUGUUCCCCUUAAGAACAUGAGACAGAGUCCCUAUAUAAUUGGAAACCGCUCAGGUCAGUUUCAGAUGGAAAACACGACAAUGCCUUUUGAUUAGCAGCACCGGAAGCCAUGCAACAGAACAGAGAAGGCAAACAUGUUCGGCCAUCCCGUCCUGGGAUUGCCCAAAUGUACAAACUGCAGUUAAGGGGAAUAAUCAGAGUCGGGGGAAUUGCUGAAAAAGAAAAGGUGAGGCAUGUCUCAGACCAGCAGGGCAAGCUGAGAUGGGCCAAGGAGCUGAAAAACAGGCGCGCUGGGGCUGGCCUCCCUGCAGGGGCAAGCAAACCGGGGCAGAUUCAGGCAGCCCCAGAGACGCAACUCCAGGCGAUUCAAGAUCGUUCCAGGGGAACCAGCUAGAGGAGGAGAAAACAGUAGGAUCUGCCUACCCAGGGCAGGCAUCCAGAGAAAGAGGAGGACCCAAAGACGCAACAAGAUGAUCAAGAUUGGGCUAGCUGUGAGAGGCCGCCCGCUAAGUUUCAGCAGAAGAAUGUGGAGAAUUUAGCUGUAAGCGCACGCUAACUGCAGUUGACGAGACGCACACAGUCAUACUAGCAGAAGCCAUAUAUUGCAAGCAGGGGCAGGCAGAAGCCAAGCAGGAGAGACCUGGUCCAGGUCACUGAAGCCCCAAUGGACAGCGGAGGUCACACGCUGGAUCUGCUUUUUUCCUCAGGGAAUGGCAGUGUGCUCUGGAUAUGGGGGAGGUUAUACUCACUCCCUUGCCCGAUUGCUUUGGUGUGCUCUGGUGCUACUCCCCACCUCAGGGAGACCUGGCCUCCUUAACUGGUCCACCACAGGCACCCGAUGGGCCCUGCUGGGUUUCAGAGGGAGCCUGGGGUUGUUCCUGAACUCUGCUACUCCUCAGCCGCCGCCUGGAAUGAGGAACAACCUCGCUUGGGCGGCCUCUGUCUGGGGAUCCCAGAGUUUCCCCUGGGUUUUGGAGAAAUGCUGGGUGACGGAACAGCUGAAACACCUGGAAAGCUGAUGAAGAAAGGCAAAGAGCAAAUCUGACUGAAUGCCAGUAAGAGCCUUUUUUAAGGACGACUUCGGGGUGAUAACUGUUUGUCAGGCCUGUAGACAGCCAACUGGCAGCCUUAUUCAAGGGGACUCGGUCCUUCCUGGGAAGCGAAGGAACACCUGCAGGGCUGCUGUGCUGAACCUGCUAGGCAUCUCCCAGAUAGUCACUAGAAUUUGCUCCAAGUAGGAGUUUGGCUGGGCAGGCCCUGGAGCUAACCAAGGCACGGUCUGCCUUGGUUACCUGGCAAGAAUUUGAACCUGCUAAUCUUGAGGAAGUGGACAGGGUCCUCAGGGCUGCAACUUGGUCCACUUGUUCUGAUAUUCUUCCUGGUUAGCUAAGGCUUCCUGGGAGAUGAUGUGUGCUUGGGUCCAGGUACAGAUAUAGCCUUGAACAAAAUAUGGGGCAGCCAUCGCAAAAACAUCAGCUAAGCUCAGGAAGAAAUAAAUUAAAAGAUGUCCCUGUCUAGACUCUCUUUAGCAUAAGAGUGAGGGAAAGAGAAAUCCUGCCAGCCUUUGAGAUUCUGUUAUUAUAGCCUCUAUCAACAGAGCUCUGGUGCUGCUUGCGGGGCUCAUCUCCUGGCCAGGUCUACCCAGUAGGGCGAUACCAGGGCUUGGAAUUGAUCCUUGAGGGAGGGGAUGGUCCAUCCACUCAAGAGACUAUCACUGGACCACGAGUUAUUGGAUUUUUGUCUCCUUCUUAGGGAAGGUUCUUGAGAAGGUGCUGCCUCACAGAGCUCUGAAGGAAGUGGAUUAUCUGGGCCUCUUUCAGUUUCAGGGUAUAGUACCAAGGCAGAAUUAAUCAUGCUUGUGGAUGACCUCUGGUGGGAGAAGAAUGACCCUAGGCAUCUCUUCUGGCACAUCCCCCAUGGCUUCUUAAUAAACCAAGAUGCAUCCUGGGAUCAGCGUCCGAGGAGAGACCACAUAGGGGUAACACAGUCCAAGUCUUCUACCAUCUGCUCGUUCUGGGCUGUGCCGCUGCUUAACUGCCUACCCAAUCCCCAAGCAAAACCCCAAGCUUCCUCUGGAACCCCACUGGGACUGCAAACUGUCUUGGGCAGCCCAAUCAAAUUGGCCUUGUCUCUUUCUGCAAAACCAUGAGGGCUUCCAGGGGACCGAAGAAACUCAGAGAACAGUCUUGAAGGUCCAAAUGUUACCUCCAGGGACAAGGGAACAGUGGUGAGAAGGAACUAGGUCUCCUAUUUGUGAACCCCCAGAAGCAUCUGGGGCGGCCACCCUGAGAAACCAGCUGCUGGACUCAGGUGGACCUUAGCCUGAUCCAGCAGGACUAAUCUCAAAAACUCUUAGGAGAGAGAGGAGCUCUCUAGUGAAAGCCUUCUCCAAGCUUUCUAAAGCUACCCAGGUAGUGUUCACUAUGUCCUGUGGUGGUGGAUUCCACAGACUGACUGCGUGCAGCAGAAAGAAGCCUGCCCUCCCUUUUCCUCUGGCAUCACCCGCCACACAGGUCCACUGGACAAGCCCGCUGGGUGCCUAUUAGUAAAGCUGGAGUAAAACGUG